rnacentral:rRNA from 1 species
GACGAACGCUGGCGGCGCGCCUAACACAUGCAAGUCGAGCGAGAACCGGCCCUUCGGGGCCGGGGACGGCGGCGAACGGGUGAGUAACACGUGGGUAAUCUGCCCUCGGCACCGGGAUAGCCCGGGGAAACCCGGAUUAAUACCGGAUGGCCUUUCGAGUCCUCGGACUCGAAUGAAAAGGUAGCUUCGGCCUCCGGCCGAGGAUGAGCCCGCGGCCGAUUAGCUUGUUGGUGAGGUAACGGCUCACCAAGGCUCCGANCGGUAGCUGGUCUGAGAGGACGAUCAGCCACACUGGGACUGAGACACGGCCCAGACUCCUACGGGAGGCAGCAGUGGGGAAUCUUGCGCAAUGGGCGAAAGCCUGACGCAGCGACGCCGUGUGCGGGAAGAAGGCCUUC